UAUACCGUGAAACUGCGAAUGGCUCAUUAAAUCAGUUAUCGUUUAUUUGAUAGUACCUUACUACUUGGAUAACCGUGGUAAUUCUAGAGCUAAUACAUGCUAAAAACCCCGACUUCGGAAGGGGUGUAUUUAUUAGAUAAAAAACCAACGCCCUUCGGGGCUUCUUGGUGAUUCAUGAUAACUUUACGGAUCGCAUGGCCUUGCGCCGGCGACGGUUCAUUCAAAUUUCUGCCCUAUCAACUUUCGAUGGUAAGGUAUUGGCUUACCAUGGUUUCAACGGGUAACGGGGAAUUAGGGUUCGAUUCCGGAGAGGGAGCCUGAGAAACGGCUACCACAUCCAAGGAAGGCAGCAGGCGCGCAAAUUACCCAAUCCCGACACGGGGAGGUAGUGACAAUAAAUACUGAUACAGGGCUCUUUUGGGUCUUGUAAUUGGAAUGAGUACAAUUUAAACCUCUUAACGAGGAACAAUUGGAGGGCAAGUCUGGUGCCAGCAGCCGCGGUAAUUCCAGCUCCAAUAGCGUAUAUUAAAGUUGUUGCAGUUAAAAAGCUCGUAGUUGAAACUUGGGUCUGGCUGGCAGGUCCGCCUCACCGCGUGUACUUGUCCGGCCGGGCCUUCCUUCUGGAGAACCUCAUGCCCUUCACUGGGCGUGUUGGGGACCAGGACUUUUACUUUGAAAAAAUUAGAGUGUUCAAAGCAGGCCUUUGCUCGAAUACGUUAGCAUGGAAUAAUAGAAUAGGACGUGCGGUCCUAUUUUGUUGGUUUCUAGGACCGCCGUAAUGAUUAAUAGGGACAGUCGGGGGCAUCAGUAUUCAAUUGUCAAAGGUGAAAUUCUUGGAUUUAUUGAAGACUAACUACUGCGAAAGCAUUUGCCAAGGAUGUUUUCAUUAAUCAGUGAACGAAAGUUAGGGGAUCGAAGACGAUCAGAUACCGUCGUAGUCUUAACCGUAAACUAUGCCGACUAGGGAUCGGGCGAUGUUCUUUUUCUGACUCGCUCGGCACCUUACGAGAAAUCAAAGUUUUUGGGU
rnacentral:rRNA from 1 species